rnacentral:rRNA from 1 species
UACGGAGGGGGCUAGCGUUGUUCGGAAUUACUGGGCGUAAAGCGCGCGUAGGCGGCUAUUUAAGUCAGAGGUGAAAGCCCGGGGCUCAACCCCGGAACUGCCUUUGAGACUGGAUAGCUAGAAUCUUGGAGAGGCGGGUGGAAUUCCGAGUGUAGAGGUGAAAUUCGUAGAUAUUCGGAAGAACACCAGUGGCGAAGGCGGCUCGCUGGACAAGUAUUGACGCUGAGGUGCGAAAGCGUGGGGAGCAAACAGG